CCUUGCUUUGGCUUUGUUUACAAACCGUAAACUAGCUACUAGUUGCUAGCUUAAGCAGAACGUACGACCAAAUAUACUGGUAACCUUUCAUCUGUGGUGUGACUGUUUGCUAGCAAGCUACUUAUUGCAUGCCGGCAAAAGCACACUGUGUUGUGACUGGAUGCCUUAGUGUACAAUUAACCUUACACUAUUUUCCGAAGAAUUAAGACAUCUGACAGCAGUGGCUCGGGUGGACAGGCUGCAAAUUCCGAUCAUGUCAGACAUGUGCAGUGCACAUUUCGAGUGAAGUUGCUUUAUCAAUUGGGAAGUACAUUCGAUGGGUCUUGCCAGGAAGCUCAUCCUGAAGACAGAUGGUGUACCAUCAUCGUCAGUAGAUUUUGCAAGCGUAGACCAUUAUCUUCCCAGGCAACCCACCAAAACAGGAAUGCUGCAAUACAAAAAACAGCUCCCCCAAGGCAAAGAAGGGGGAUUUGGUGUGAAGCCUAUGAAGACAGACCUAACAUACUGGACUGCUCCUGGAUCUCCUCUUCAACGAGGUCAGCCUUGAGCUAGCAAAGGACUGUAUGCGGGGAAGCUGUGGGAGCUGGCCAUCCCAGGACCCCUGUCUGAGAGGCCUGACAAGGAGGCAAUAGCUGGAUUUGUCUCCCGUUCAAUCUUGUGGGUGACUGAAGCCAAGUGUGUGACUGAAGCCUGCUUGAUUGAAGUGGGGUACAUGGGUCCCCCUCUCAUCCAUCUCUAUACUGUAGUUGGUUGCAUUCCCUAAAGCCUAAAUAAUAAACUUUUACGUGAUAUGACAUCA